rnacentral:lncRNA from 1 species
GUCCAGAGCAGCACAGAGAAGCCCUACUAUAAAUAUUACUUGAAUAAAUUAAGAAAAGAGUGAACUGAUUAUGUGUGUAUUGUUUCCUGAGAAAAUUGAGAGGGGGAAUGACUGUUACCAGAAGGAAGGGGAGUGAAUGUAGGAAUGUGAAAUGAUAACUAUGCUUUAGAGACAAAUGCAGGACUAGGCUUAAAAACCAAAACUUCUUUUAGGCUGCCAAAGGCGAAGUCCCUCUCAAUGACCAGAUACAUGAAGUAUUUAUGACCCUAAGCAGUCCUUUCAGUUUAGGAUUUAAAAAAUAUGCUAGGAAAUAUGUUUGUUGCUUACUUGCCAUCUGGCGAGUAAUGGAAUAACUUCAAGUAGAUAAUAAGAAUCUGCUUUUUGUUUAACAGAGGAAUUGCAGAGAGCAGUAACUGAAUCCUGGAAACAGGUUUCUUGCUGAGUCAUUCACCCUUGCUCAAGACAAGCUUUCACUUUGCAUUGAAUUUUAAUGUGAUGUUUCCUCAUCGUCCCCUCCCCCUCUCCUGUAGUCAGCUAGUCGGUAAUUUCUCUGUGGCUGGAGUAGAACUGCCCUCCCAGAAGGGUCAGGCAAACUCUACUGAGAUAUUUCCAGGGACCCCCAUGCCUUUUUACUUCCCAGGACCCAUUUAUGAUCUUUUCUCCAAAGACUCACAUAUAUGAAAGACCUCUUUGCAAAACAAAACAUGCAUCUGGAAGAAAAAUCCAUUUGUUCUCUCAAAAUGUAUUAAUUGUACCAAGCAUGCUGACACAAUUCCAGCCUAAACUCAAGCAAUUUUGAGUUAGUUUAUUUUACUUGCCAUAGUAAGAGUGGGAUCUCCAUCGAGCUUUUGAAACAGUGAAAAUAUUGGAAGUCGAUGAGUAGUCUUUCAGGGAGAUAUAUGUUUGGAUAUACCACACUAGGUCAGAUGGGAGCAAGUCAAGUCAGAGAGAGCCAUCUGUUUUGGUAUUCCAAGAGAGAGAUUUGUUAAUUAAAAAAUGCAUCAAGGAGUUCCUGUUGUGGGGCAUCAGAAACGAAUCUGACUAGGAACCAUGAGGUUGUGGGUUCAAUCCCUGGCCUCACUCAGUGAUUAAGGAUCUGGUGUUGCUGAGAGCUGUGGUGUAGGUUGCAGACGCGGCUCGGAUCUGCCAUUGCUGUGGCUGUGGCUGUGGCCAACAGCUGUAGCUCUGAUUGGACUCCUAGCCUGGAAACCUCCAUAUGCCAUGGGUGAGGCCCUAAAAAGCAAAAAAGCCCAAAAAACCUGACCCUCCAUAGGUCUGGCUUCACUGUUUCAAGGGGGAAUCCCUACUGCGGAGACUGGAACUAACAAGGUUGUCAGAGCCACUGUCCUCGAAUUUCACCUAAACUAUUUCUGUAACCAGGUGACAGGUGUUAGGAUCCUGGAUCACAGGAGUUAGGGCCUUCAUGAUUAGGCCCUCAGAGCCAUGGACAAUGGGCAGUCCAUAUGUGUUGGUCCAUAAAUUUUUAAAAGUUAUCAUUGAUAUGAAUUAGCCACCCACUCAAUAUUAGUAGGGCUGAAUUAUUAUUUUCAUGGGCCCUGGCAUUUUGAAUUUAUGGGCCCUUUCCCCUACAAAAAAAAUAUUAAAAACUGGAGUUCCCUGAUGGCCUAGUGGUUAAAGAUUUGGUUAAAGAUUUUGCUGCAGUUUGAGUUUGAUCCCUGGCCCAGGAGCUUUUUUGGCAUGGCCAAAAAAGUUUAAAAUCAUAUUUCAUGACUAUGUUAGUAUCAAGAUGAAUGCAAUCCAGUCUGCAGUCUCUUUUUUUAUUGUGUUAAAAUAUGCCUAACAUAAAAUUUACCAUUUUAAGUGUAUAGUUCACUGGCAUUACUUAUGCAAAAUUUGUUUGUAUAUAUUCAUUGUAUUUAUUUUAUCCUGAUUUAUUAUUAUUAUCAUUUUAUUAUUAUUUUGCUUUUUAGGGCCACACCUGUAGCAUAUGGAAAUUCCCAGGCUGGGAAUCUAAUCAGAGCUACAGCUUCCAGCCUACACCACAGCCACAGCAAUGGGGGGAUCCGAGCCGUGUCUUCGACCUACACCACAGCUCAUGGAAAUGCCGGAUCCUUAACCCACUGAGGAGGCCAGGGAUUGAACCCGCAUCCUCAUGGUUCCUAGUCAGGUCUGUUAACCACUGAGCCAUGAAGGGAACUCCUAUUCCAAUUUUUAAAGAAAUUAAAAUGGAAAUAUUUUAUGGACCCUUUAAAGUAUCAUGGACCCUCCAUGCUGUGCCUAAUGGAUAACUUGGCUCUGACUAGGAGAUGGCAAAAAAGGGCAAGAAAGCAAAACUGAAAUGUACUCAAACUCACUUCACAGUUCAAACACACACAAAAAAAGACACUCAAACUUGCCUUUCCCUAUCCACGGGGGGAUAUUCAUCUUGGGAAGCUGUGUGUCUGAGUAGACAGAACACAGAACUCAGGCAGACUGAGUUCAAGUCCUAUUUUUGCCCCUCAUUAGCUGGGUGUCACAGCCAGCACAGGUGGUGCUCAGACAGGCCCAGAGAGGAGGCCGGGGGUUGGGAGAACAGUGCCAGCAGACUCAGAAAUAGCAACUGCUCCAGGCCAAGAGGUCUGGGCAGGGCUCCAGAUGAAGCCCAGGACAGUUCCCAGGAGUCCGAUGGGGUGAAUCCAGAGUUCAAGAAAGGCUAUAAGUAAACUAGGGAAUACAAACAUACAAGCAAACAAGAGACUGAGGGGAGAGGAGCAAAUGCCAGUCAGGUCUGCAGAAUGCUGCUUUUCUAGAGCCUGAUUUAAGUCUCCCUGUUUUUGCUGCAAACACCACUUGUUGCCUGAGAUUGUGCACCCUUCAGGCAACUUGUCUUCUCAAGACUCGGCUUCCCCAUCUAUGCAAUUAGAAAUUGGAUUCAUGACUCCCAAGGUCCCAUGAACUAUUUGACUCUUUCCAGCUUUCUAAUAGCUCUACUGUUUUUCCUGCUCUAGCUCUAGAUUGUUGAAAUUCAGAGCUUAAUGUCCAAGUUUCAGAGCAGAGUUUGCAAAGUUGUAGAUGUUGGGCCAAAUCUGUCUCACAAGUGAGGUUUUGUUUUGUUUUGUUUUUUUCUGCUCAAUAUUUUUAAACAUUGUAUUAAUUGCCAACAUCCCCAAAUCAGGAGAUGGCUCAUAAAGCUCUGAACUUGCUUCCUCUUGAAAGUUGGCUGCUGUCCCUUCCUUGGGCCCGUGUGCUCAUGUGGUCUUGGCUAGAGCUGCAUAGGAGUUGCCCCCUCUAGAUGAGGCCUACAUGCUCCAGGAUGCCACAGCCUCCCUCAACCCAUUUCACUCUUUUAUGGUUCUUAUAGGCAGUUGGAUUUGCUACCUCUCUCUAGUGCCCAGGCACCAUCUGUUGUGAAGUGGCUUAAAGCUGAUCUUCAUGCCUCCCAAUCCAUCCCCUUCUGAACUAAACCUCUGAGCACUGAGUCACCCCUAGGUCAUCUCCCCAGAGGGAACUUGAUUCAAAGAGGCAACAGAGAGUUGUUCCUAUUAUCUAUCUGCCCCCUCUCUGUCCUGAUAAUUGUCCUGAACCUGGAGAUAUGGAGUCCCUCUGACCAGGUGUUGCUCUGCCCUUUCCGGGCAUUGACUGAAAUCUCCUGAGGCAGGUCCAGUGUGCCUGCCUCUGAGGAAUCAGUCAAUUAAAGGCUGGAGGACUGAAGAGAGGACAGCUGGAAGCUCUGAGAGAGAGAGGGGGGGAGGGAGGAAACCAAGAGAGCACGAAAACCACCAGGAAGCACGGAGGUCAAACAGGCUACAUCUCCACCUGCUGAGGCCAUGUUAUUGCUUCUGACCUCCAUAUUUCCUCACAAAUGGGUUCUGUGUUCUCUCUACUAGACAUCUCAAUUUCAACUGGACAAGAACAAAAUGAGUUUUUAACCAGUUCUACAGGGAUUUCCUCAUCAUAGGUUGAAACAACUCAAGAAUAGGUUUGAGUCAAAAUGACACAAAAUGGAGGAAAGACAUUCAAGAACAGUAUCCCGUUGUAGAUUGUUUUCCUGAAACAGCUCUAGCAUUAUCCACACUGCAAUCUUCUCUCUCCUUCCCCUCCCCUAUCACUGAACACCAUCAUUCUUCAAACUAAAUAUCUCUGGGACCUCUGCACUGUAUCCUGAGAGCCUCUGCUUUGGUUCAAUCGGCCUAGCCUGCUUGCAGCUCCCCACUGGCUCUGACCAUCUCCUUGCACCUGUCAGGGUAAAAGCUAUGUUUCUUCAAUAGAGGCUGGAAUCCUGCUGACACCUGGCCCUGCCUCUCCAGACUCAUGUGAUGCCCAUACUCUUCAGUCACAUAAAAUUACCCACAGAUCCUCAAGUGGUCUCCUAAGUUUUCUAUCUCUCAACCUUCUCUCUUUCUAUUUCUUUCUACCUAUAAUACAUUCUUCAUCAUUAUUAAACUCUUCCCUGGAAAACUCCUACCCAUCCUUUAAGAUUCAGAUCAGUGAAGCCUCCUCUGGGCUAUCCUACAAGAGAACAAGAUGGGACAGGAUGACUAAGUGCCAGUUCCUUGGAGGCUGAGCACGAGAAGGGGAUGUGGCCAUGGCUAUGAGUGUGAAACAAAGAAAUAGAAUAGCAAUGGCAAGCGGGCAGCUUCCCUAGUCUUCAUUCUUCAGAAGUGUUUUCUUUGUCAGGCAUAGGUUUUAAUGUUUUUGAAUUUGAGCAUUUGUUCUUUAGUUCUCCAUUCAUGUUACAGUCCUGGCCUCUAAAGGCCCCUGAGUAAAUGAAUGAAGGGGUUGUGGAUGGAGAGCUGGAAAGGAUACAAAAGUGAGAAGUUUCUUUUUCUUCUACAAGGAGUUGGCCUCGAGGGGCUGGUGGUGGGGGGUGGCCUGAAAGUCAGGAACACUCUCUCCACGUGAUCCCACACCUGUGGGAGUGGCUAGAUUUUCUCCCCUUACCUCUUCUCCCUGUUGUCUACUUUAUAAGGAUGGGAAUAUGCCAUGAAAGUCCAAGCAAAGAGCUGUUUGUGCGUGGCCCUGAGCUUCCCAUGAGUGCUUCUUUAACUCACAGCGGGACUGAGAGGCAACAGAGGGUAGAGAACUUGGACUCAAAAGGCAGACCACGUUCAGUUACUUCAUGGCACAGUGGGUCAAGGAUCUGACAUUGCCACUGUUGUGGUGCAGGUUGGAUCCCUGGCCUGAGAACUUCUGCAUGCUUCAGGCUUAGUUGGAAAAAAAGGAAUUAAAGUCAGAUCAGGUUCAAAUCUCAGCGCCUCUAGAAUAUGGGGCUGUGAGCAGGUUAUUUUACCUCUAUCCCUUUAUUUUCUCAUCUGUAAAAUGGGGAUAGUAAUAGUACCUACCUGUAAAGUUGUGUUGAUUAGGCGAAUUAGCAAUGUAAGGUUCUUGGAACAAUGUCCAAGUUUUACAUAGGAAGAACUAUGUAAGUGUUAGCUCUUCUUGGGUUUUGGACAGUACUGUUCCUCCAGUCCUCAGUGGCACUACAUGGUAUAUACAGGGCCCCAGUUGUAGAGUUCCUGAUUAGUUUCACUGGAGGCCUCUGAGAGCAGUCAUGCUGAAAGCUUAUGCUACAGUCAGAGCCUCCUCAAGCAGGUCUCGCCACCUGGGCUGGAAAAGCCAGGGAUGAGAACUCACAGGUUGGCCAUCAGUGGGCACAAGACUCGUCACCAUCAAGUCCUGUUCCUCUUGGCUUUCUGUCAUCUCUGUAUCAUAAAGUAAGUGGUGUGCUAUGUUUACUUAAUAGAAAGAGAGAAAGAGAGAGAGAGGAGUACCCUGGUGGCCUAGCAGUUAAAGGAUCUAGCACUGUCAGUGUUGCGGCUCAGGUCACACUGUGGUGCAAGUUCUAUCACCGGCCAAGGAAUUUCCACAUGCCUCAGGUGUGACCAAAAAGAAAAAGAGAGAGAGAGAGAUGAUAAUUUUAUUUCCAUUAUGCUGAUAGAGUCCUAUAUCCAAACAAUUCAGGACUAAGACUGAAAUUUGCAGACAGCUUCUCAGGGAGCUCAACUACACUCAUGCUGCUUCUCCCUCCCUCUAAUGCUUGUCCCCUUUGAUCCUUUUUACAUGCCUCAGUCACAGCAUAGGGCACCCUAUUAUACCAAAUUUCUUCAGUUCCAAAAACUUAAAAGAUGUCAGACAUCUUUUAUUAAUUUAGUAGUAGAUAUCUGGGUUGGGGAACCCUUAACAUUAAAUGAACUCAUCCACUGAACUGGCUGAUUUCAAAAGCUGUAAAAUGUUUUAAAAAUAGGAGCUCCUGUCGUUGCUCAGCAGUAAGGAACCCAACUAGUAUCCAUGAGGAUGCAGGUUCGAUCCCUGGCCUUGCUCAGUGGAUUAAGGAUCUGGCAUUGCCGUGAGCCAUGGUGUAGGUUGUAGAUGCAGCACAGAUCUCGAGUUGCUGUGGCUGUGGCAUAGGCCGGCAGCUGCAGCUCUGAUUCGACCCCUAGCCUGGGAACCUCCAUAUGCCUCAGGUGUGGCCCUAAAAAGUAAAAAAAAAAAGUUUAAAAAAUGAAAGGAAGUAUCUUUUUAAGCUAAUGAUUUUUAAAGUGCAUUUUCUCUCCAAUAGACUUGUGAACUUGGUAGGGUCAGAGACAUCCUGUGUACCAUGGGGAGCCCUGCUGAGGAAGGCUGCCUGCUGACCUGGACUCUGAACCAUGUUGCAAAUCCUGGCCUCCCUUCCCAGGCA